ensembl:snoRNA
AGCCUAUAUAUAAAACUAACUGAAUGUGGCUGUAUUGAGACACAGGUUAUGCUUCCAACACAGCAAGCUUGUUACAAUGAUGACAAUGAGGCCUGUAACAUUU